rnacentral:lncRNA from 1 species
GCUUUUAUUUAUUUCACUUGUGAGGGAAAGGGCUUUGGAAAAUGAAGGUAUGUCAUAUAGUUUGGCAAUAUAAUGGAUAGGAGAAAUGAUAGACUGAUGAGAGCCUAGAGGGAAGACUUGGAUGGAAAUUACUUUAUGAUUUCAUGAUUAAGAUACUUUGAAGAAGUAUUCACUUUCUUGAUAGAUGAGAUAUACUGGUGUGAGCCAAGGGAUUCACUGGAGUCUCUCUCUCUCAGUAAAAUAUCUGCCCUGCAGACUGCUAUGGCAGCCACAAUUGGGCAGCAGUUAAUUAUACUUUUCCUUGGGAAUUUAAAAAUAGGUAUCUUUCCAAUUAUUCUUUUAGGUUAGAACUCAAGCAGCAAUGAUAAAACCUUUGUGGAUAUGAAAGGGUGUGCAAAUACUGAGAUUGCCAACUGGAUCCCUUCAAAGUUUCCAUUAGCCAGAGGUCUGGAUUCCAGUUCAGAUCAAUUUAGAGAUCAAGUGAGAUGAAUGUGAAUUUUUAUCCACAGAUGAUAGCAUGAUCUGAAGUGGAAACUAGGGGUACAUACAUCUUAACAAGUGUGUUAGGCUCAGAAGCUGAAUAAUUUGUGACUUUGGUGAAAAUAGUCAGAAUUCCAUUUUAGUAGCACUACAUUUUAUUUCUACAUAAGAAUUCAGCAUAAGUGGUAAUAAUAAUGAUUUUGUUACAUGAUAUUCCUGCUAAGAUUAAUAUUUGGUUUAACUUAGUUGCUCUAUGGUAAAGCAAUACCCUGCAUGAAGGUUUGUUCACUAAAUAUUUGUUUUGGCAAGUAUUACAUAAUAAUAAUUUGCAUCUAUCCAGAAUUAUUUUUAUUUUAUCAUAAGCUUUAACAUACUAGCUCAGUUUUUUUUUCUUUUUUUUUUUUGCAGUUGCAAGAUUUAAUAGUGUGAAAACAGAGCUCCCAUACAAAGGGAGGGGAUCCAAAGAGGGUAGCCGUUGAUGGUUCAAAUGCCUGGGUUUAUAUUCUGAUCAUUUUCCCUCUCGCUGUGCUGUCAGGUGAUAGAUGAUUGGCUAUUUCUUUACCUCCUGUUUUUGCCUAAUUAGCAUUUUAGCGAGCUGUCUUUACUACCUGAUUUGUUGGCGUGCUCUAAGUUGCAAGCCCCGUGUUUAAAGGUGGAUGCGGUCACCUUCCCAGCUAGGCUUAGGGAUUCUUAGUUGGCCUAGGAAAUCCAGCUAGUCCUGUCUCUCAGUACCCUCUCUCAACAGGAAAACCCAAGUGCUGUUGGGGAAGUCGACUGAUGUCUGCACUAACUGCUUCCUGCUGAAUUGGGGCAUAGUAGGGGUUGUGCAGUUCAGAUUUCCUCGGGAGGGGUGCCUUCGAUGUCAUUAACAUCAGAGCAUGGGCUAGCAGGCUGGUCCAGGGGUCUGCGGUAGAUCUUAGUCAUGGACUGCAUCUGGGGCUCCAUUUGAAGAACGAUUUGUAGUUUUACAGCUUUGAUUCUGGAAGAGACAAAGUUAUCAAGGAGAUUAAAAAUAGAGGGAUUGAAAUGUAUGGCCUACAGUGCAGGGGAUUAUUUCUUUGGCACACUUCACAGGCCCUGACUAUCUGCUUGAUAGUUUUGAA